UACGAAGGGGGCUAGCGUUGCUCGGAAUUACUGGGCGUAAAGAGUGCGUAGGCGGUUCGUUAAGUCAGCUGUGAAAGCCCCGGGCUCAACCUGGGAACUGCGGUUGAAACUGGCGAACUAGAAUCUGGCAGAGGGGGGUGGAAUUCCACGUGUAGCAGUGAAAUGCGUAGAGAUGUGGAGGAACACCGAUGGCGAAGGCAGCCCCCUGGGCUGAGAUUGACGCUCAGGCACGAAAGCGUGGGGAGCAAACAGG
rnacentral:rRNA from 1 species